GUAAGAGAAAUAUUUCCUACUAAUAUAGAGAAUCUGAGAUGUGUUUUAUUUAAAUGUUGUUCAUUAUUUUCGUAUAAAUGUACCACUAGGGGAUGUUUCUUAUGGUUGUGUCCAUUUUGACCGCGCAAGUAUCUGCGUAGUCGAGAGACUCAAGACAGUCAUAGCCAUGGCAAGCCGAAAUUUACACAUAGAAUGUAUUUUCACGAAAAAUUCACUCAAACUGGAUUUAUAUUGGGAAUUGUCAACUGGAAUUGUCUUGGGUUGGCUGCCUAAAACCCUGUAAACUCACACACCCUACUUAUUCCUCCCUAAACCAUCAAACUCUUCAUAAAUCUACCCAAUGAUAGACUUUCUCUUUAGAUCUCUCCCUAAACUUUUUUAAUCCCCCUCCCUAAUCAAUUUUCAAAUCGCAAUUAAAAAAAACAAAAACGCGUUUAGAAAACAGUGAUUUUACCGUUUAAACAAAAACGCGUUUAAAAACCAAAUCCGACCCGAAAUUAAAACAAAUCCGACCCGACUUAACUUAAAAAAAAAACAAAUUGGGGAUCAGACGACGACUAAGAACAGAUGACUGGGAACGCAGAGAAAGAGACGACAAGGAACACAGAGAGAGACAAUGACGAUGAGGAACAGAUAGAGACGAUGACGAAGAACCGAGAGAGACGAAGACGACGAUGAUGUCCAGAGUUCACUCUCCACUCCUGUAGAUUCGAAGAUCAUAUCAGAGAUUAUGAAAGAGGAUGUUUCGCAAGAUUCAGCUGUCACAGAAGAAGCCAAGGCGGAAGAGGUCUCAGAAAGCAUCCAACAGCAUAGAACCAGGAGGUCUUUGGAUGUGAACCAAGCUGAUGUUCCAGAGGUUGUUCAAGGAUCAGAAGAUGGACUCCAAUGAUAAUUGUUGCUCAACCUCCAGAGAAGAAACGUGCAAAUAGAAAGGAGACUGUUUCUAAGAAUAGUUUGCCCGUGAGGAGGAAGAAAGCAGUAGCAACCAACUCUGUCAAUCGGAGAACAGUUCCAGAAAACAAGGACAUUAAGUCUCCGAAGAAACCUGAAAGUACCAGUAAGCCAAGGACUAAGAAAAUUCAAGAAGAGACUAAGAAGUCCACCAAGUAACUUGUUGCUAAAGAAGGUGAAGAAGUUAAAAUCUCUGAAGCAGCUGCAAAAAAUGGAAAACAAAGAAAACACGGUUGUUGCUGCUGGUGCAGGAGAAGAAAUCCAAGUUUGAAUGAAGAACAGAGAAGCGUUUUCACAUCUCAAUCAACUCUUUUUUUUUUGGUUUGAAUGCUUGUUCAAGGUACAUAGUUGAAAGGUGUUCGUAAGUUUGGUUUGGAAGAUAUCAAAUAUUUUAUUUGCUUGCUUAUGUAAUUGUGUUCUGUUUUUUAUUUUUCUUUUCUCCUGUCUCUUCAUUUUUGAGAUGUCUUUUCUUCUACUGUUUUCUGUUGAAGUUUGUAUAUUCAUAGUUAACUCGUAA